rnacentral:rRNA from 1 species
GACGAACGCUUGCGGCGUGCUUAACACAUGCAAGUCGAGCGGUAAGGCCCUUUCGGGGGUACACGAGCGGCGAACGGGUGAGUAACACGUGGGUGACCUGCCCUCAGCUCUGGGAUAAGCCUGGGAAACCGGGUCUAAUACCGGAUAUGACUCCAUGACGCAUGUUGUGGGGUGGAAAGCCUUGUGCGGCUGAGGAUGGGCCCGCGGCCUAUCAGCUUGUUGGUGGGGUGAUGGCCUACCAAGGCGACGACGGGUAGCCGGCCUGAGAGGGCGACCGGCCACACUGGGACUGAGACACGGCCCAGACUCCUACGGGAGGCAGCAGUGGGGAAUCUUGCGCAAUGGGCGAAAGCCUGACGCAGCACGCCGCGUGAGGGAUGACGGCCUGG